rnacentral:other from 1 species
UAUCAUCUGGAAUGUUGGUCAUCUUUUUAAAUUUUACCACUGAUUAUUUAUAGGGAGAACGUGUUCUGCUGUGUAUGACAAGCUGCUUUAAGUAGAAGUCAGAAACAAUAGAUAGUCCACCCACCUAGUGAAGGUGUGGUGUGAGAUUUUUGGGGUGACGGCAUUCUGGAUCACCA